rnacentral:lncRNA from 1 species
CCGGAGAGCGCUGGUCAGUCGCCGCCAACAUGCUCCACGGUGACACACCCAUGGCCCGAGUGGCCUUUGAUGGGUCCACGUGGCCAGAAUCUUGCUCAGAGAAUGGCCCGGCCAGAAACAUGGAGUGAGGACGGGGCUGCUGGUUGAGAGGGGCUGGUCUAGGCCAAUACUCUGCUCUUCUGUGCUAAGGACUGGAUUCGGGAUGAGAGUUCUCGCUGUGGUGCAAGGGGAUCAGCGAUGCCAGGAUGCAGGUUUGAUCCCCGGCCUGGCAUAGUGGGUUAAAGGAUCCAGCAUUGCCGCCACUGAGGUAUAGUCCCAACUGUGGCUCAGAUCUGGU